rnacentral:lncRNA from 1 species
GAGCCCUGACCCUCUUUGGCGUCUUCCUUGGCCCUAGGCGUUCCUCGAGUCAUCCCUGUCCUCGCCCCUCUGCAUCCGUCGGAGCGAUCUAGGUUAGUCCCGGAGCCUUCAUUUCUCUUCUUGUCAUUUAGGUGCCCUUUCUCCUCCAUUGUUCUUCUACCGCAUCCCUCUGGCUUAGUCCCCCGCAAACCUUUCGCCUCUUGUCCCGUCUGAUUUCUCCAGGAUCUCUAGGGCCUUUGUUUGAAAUGUCCUCCAGUACCUCCGCCUCUAGUGGUUCUAGGAGUUCGUCCGCCUCAGCCCCCCAGAAUCCCCACACUGUAGACGAUCCCACGUCUAGGGCUGGGCCUCUCCUGGUUUUUGCGCCGAGG